AUCACAACACAACACUAGACACAAAUUAAAAUAAUACAAGCUUUAUAUUACAAGCUAGGGGCCUCGAGGGCUCGAAUACAUAAGCUCGAAAACACAAGAGUCAGCGGAAGCAACAAUAUCUGAGUACAGACAUGAGUUAGACAAGUUUGCCUUAAGGCUAGCACAAAAGCAUCUACGAACGAAAAGGCAAUGCCUCUUGCCUGGGAGCCUCCUAACUACUCCUGGUCAUCGUCGGUCUCCACGUAGUAGUAGGCAUCGGCGGUGGCAUCUGGCUCCUGGGCUCCGACAUCUGGUUGCAUCAACCAGAAAGAAGAAGAAAGAGGGAAAAGGGGGAGCAAAGCAACCGUGAGUACUCAUCCAAAGUACUCGCAAGCAAGGAUCUACACUACAUAUGCAACAUUAUCAAAGGAAGGCUGUAUAUGUGGACUGGGCUGCAGAAAUGCCAGAAAAGAGAGAAGGCCUAGUCCUAUCAAAAACUAGCAUCUUUUGGAAACCACCAUCUCGCAGCAACAGGAGGGAGUAGAGUAGCAUAAAGUAAAGUAGUAGUAGUGUUAUCAACCUCGGCCGGAGAUCCUUUCUCGACUCCCUGCGAGAAAGAAAUCCCAGAGCCAUACUAUCCAGUUAUCAUCACAAUCCAAUUCUCAUCACCAUCCAGUUCUAGUUGUAUCGAUCGGGAUACAACUCCAAGUGUCCGUUACCGUAGGACAGGCUAUUGAUAGAUGUUUUCUUCCCUGCAGGGGUGCACCAACUUACCCACCAUGCUCGAUUAACUCCGGCCGGACACACUUUCCUGGGUCAUGCUCGGCCUCGGCCAAACAAUACGCCGCAACCCGACCUAGGCUUAAUAGAGAGGCCAACACGCCGGACUAAACCUAUGCCCCCAGGGGUCAUGGGCCAUCUCCCCGGGAACUCCUGCACGUUGCGUGGGCGGCCGGUGAGCAGACCUAGCUACCUCCCUAAAAAGGCAGGAGCUUACCAGUCCAACCCGGCGCGCGCCGCUCAGUCGCUGACGUCUAUUAAGCUUCGGCUGAUGUAUACGACGCAGAACGCCCAUACUAUGCCCACGUGAUGGUUAGUGCUAUCAGGCCAGAGGCCCCUCGGAUCAAAUAUCCAAAUCGUAGUGGAUUAGGAACGCGCGGUAACAAGCAAAGACUCACGAAAGAUGUGACCCCGUUGCCCCGUCUCGAGGACUUGCGGCAAGGGCUAGGAAUGUCCGGCCACGCCUCGUAAUUAUCUCGCGGGCACCCUCCAGGUCAACCCGUCUCCACAUCCCUCGCAAUUAAGCUCGCGCGGGUACCCCUCAGGGUCGACCCGUCUUUAGUAACAUGGUUCAAUGUAAAGACAUAGUAACCAUAGUAACUGUGUGUCCAAACAUUAAGGGGAAAACCCGAGGAAUCACCCCGGUGAAUUCCACUCGAUGUAAUCAUCAAGGUGAACGUAAGAGGAACAACCCCCGAGGUUCACACUUGAGGGGUUGCACGACAGAGCCGUAUCGAAAGUGGUUAAGGAGGAAAUCACCCUCGAUGACCACGAACGAAUAGCUACACUACAGAGAUCUCAUCAGGAGUGAUGUAUGAGGGUCCACCCUCGGCACUCGAUGGUAACCCUGCAGAGUCGAGCAACAAAAGGGGCGUGAUGUGAUGUGAGGUGUCGGGCUCUGGUCUUCGAUCCCGUUGAACGGGUCUUCGAUGAUGAAGCAGGGGCAACAAGGACAAGGUGGGGGUCACUGAUGGAUCACUAACCAACCUAUACUAAGCAGUUUAGGAUAAGCAGGUAGGUAACAAUGAGCAGGUUACAAAAGCAGGCUAUGCAUCAGAAUAGGAGCAAACAAUAACAAUAGCAAAAUCUAAUGCAAGCAUGAGAGAAUGGAAUGGGCGAUAUCGGGAUGAUCAAAAGGGGGGCUUGCCUGGUUGUUCGGACAAGAACGAGGGGUCGUCGGUGACGUAGUCGAUCACAGCGGCAUCGACAGCCGCCACGUGGUCUAGCGAAGAGAAGAGGGGGGGAGAAACAGUAAAUACAUAGCAAGCAAGUGCAUAACAGGAUAAAAGGCAUAGCUAGACGUGUUCUAACGCGGUCCUAGAUGUUAUAGGUGAAGGGGGAAUUCAACUGGGAAGGUGUUCCCGGUUCCGGACCUGUGUCAGACAGAUGACCGCAGGGGGAAAGUUCCAUGUUCAGCAUGCUAGGGGCAUGUGACAGAUGAAUGGAUAGCGUAUUCGGAUUCGUUGGAUUUUUCUGAGCAACUCUCAUGUAGAAAAUAUUUUCAUCCGAGCUACGGAUUAUUUUAUAUGAUUUUUCGAAGAUUUAGACAAUUUCUGGAAUUUCUGGAUUUACUAAUAAAUCAAAAAGUAAAAUACCUAAAAUGCUACGGGUACACAAGGAAGUGUACCCAACAGUGUGUAAGAGGCUGACAGGUGGGGUCUAGUUGACUGCCUAGUCAGCAGUCAACUGAGACUGUUGACUAGUCAAAGGGCCCGAGGGACCCGCAUGUCAUUGACUGGGUUAUCCCAGUCAGCAGUUUAACUGGUCAAUGGGACCAGUGGGACCCAAGUGUCAUCCACACAUAUUUUAGCAUUUUUUCAGAGGAUAUUUAGAGGAGGGGGGUCCACCUGCCAUAGGCUAGUAGCUAAUCUAACUAGUAAUUAUCCCCUGAAGUAAUUUGCAUAGGGUCGGCCAGAGGCGCAAGCAGCACCAUGGAUGUGCACAUACACGCACAACCCAUGUGUGUUCAGCCAUGGCCACGGCCACAUGCGAGGCUAGCGCUGGAGCAACCAACAGUGGCGGCAAGUAGAGCAGCAGUAGCAAAAUGAGUAGCAACAGCAAAAGAGUAGCAGCGGCAUAUCAGCAACAUCAAAACGGCAGUGGUGUCUGCUAGUAGAUCAGCAGCCGGAAAGCGUCAGCGGCAUGCGAGAAGCAGCAGCAUAGCAGCCUCAUCAAUAUUCAGUAGUAAGCAGCAGCAACCAUCACGGCAGCUAGCGGGACAGGGGCGCCGCCCGGGCGAACGUCCGCGCGCGAGGAGCAGCAGUACAAGCAGCAGCAGAGCAGCGGCAGGGACGCGGACGACUAUGGCGGCGCGCCUGGGCGCGGCCAGGGAGCGGCGGGCGCGAGCCAGCAAGGCCUAACGCGGCCAGAGGCGCGCGAGCGCGGACUGUGGCGCAGCGAGCACGAGCUCCUACGGCGCCGGGCACGGCGGUGACGGCGGCCUACGGUGGUACGCGGACAAACGACGAGGUUGCUCUAGAGGACCGGAUCGAUACAGGGAAAGGGAGGAGGAGCUGGGUCUCACAGUGGUGGCAACGGCGAGAGCAGGUGGUUCCGGGAGGUUCGAACGACGGUGGAUCGAAGCCGUGGCCGAGGCGAACGCUGACGGAGGGGAUCGGCGCGGUCCGGCGAUGCAUCGAGGAUGGGCUCGAUCUGGCCCUUGUAGACGAAGCAGAGGAAGCGGGCGGAGCUCCUGGCGAAGUCUUGGCCGACGGGGAGGUCGGUGGCCACUGCGAUGCAGCAGCUAGUGGCGACGGUGCUUCGGGCGCACGCGGGGAGAAGAGAGCGACGCGAGGUGGAGAUGAAGUGGGCGGCUAGGGUUCACAGGGGGACGAGGGCGACCUUAUCUGCAUCAGGGGGCCACGGGAUGGAUGUCGCGUGGUCAUCCGCGGCCAUGGACGUGGCGCACGCCUCCACGGCGCUCCUGAUGAGCAGUAGGAAGGAGGAGGUGGCGAGGUGGGCUGGGCUCCCACGGUUGACCUAGAGCCAAGUCCACCAGUAGUUUAGCUCUUUUUUCUUAAUUUUCUUUCUGCUUCUUUGAUUUCUUCUCGGACUUGUAAAUUGCUAGGCCACCCAUUCACUUUGUAAAAUAUGAGACUUGGCUUAAUAAAUUACAUGUAAUAUUUAGCACUGUUAUAAAACGGUUCGAGGAAUAUUAGAAUUCGUUUGAUUUUUGCAUAAAAGGAAAUGGAUUAAAAAGGGUGUUCUGGACACUGUAAAUAGGUUAGGGGUAAUUUAAUAUUUCAAAUAAUGUUGGUUCCUUCAGGAAAAUUAAUUAGUGAAACUUUGUAACCCAGCGAACAUUUUUGUGUUGCCGUUUGAAGGAAUAAGAAUUUGACUUGUUUUGGAAGUUGAAUUUGAUUCGUGUUUGAAACAAAGUAAGAUUAGCAACAGUAAUUGCGAUGACUCGGCACCAUUAACAUGGGAUUACUGUAGCUUAAUUAUCCGGGCGUCACAAUUCUCCUCCACUACAAGAAAUCUCGUCCCGAGAUUUAAGGGGUGGAGUAAGGGGGAAUGACUCAGGAAGGACGGAUCUCAACACAAGAUAGGUACGUGGGGACUACGUGAGUGAACGUGGCAUAGAGGCAUCUCUCGAGUUGAAAUUCAAGAAAGUCAUCGAGAGCAAGGUGAGGUGCAAUAAGAAGCUUCAACCUGGUAGACGAUCGUUUGUUGCUUGAAACAAGGGGUGAAAGGGGUUCAGAGUAGUGGUAAUAAGUAUUGCGUCUGAUACCAUAAUAGAUCGCCUCUCGGAAGGCGGCUCAGGAUUUUCAUAUGAAGCCAAGCGUGAGAAAUAACCUUAGAAACAAGGGUGUACAGGAGAGUUAGGUUUCGAUCCUGUGGAACUAUGGGUUAUGAGCUCACCAUGUGGGUUAAAGGUAGGAAAGGCGUUGACAUCUUGCACAGAUGAUAGCAAGGCAUGUCAGAUGACAACCUGUCAGUUAUGUUGGCAACGACGUCGGUACCAAGGGCGAGGGACAAAGAGAACCAUUUUCCUGCUCGUUAGGACGAGGCGGACCAAUAGGCAAAGUUCUCGUCCAUCGGUGGUUACCGGAAUGUCAUCAACAAUAGUAACAGGGUCUUACUGACAGAGUUGUACAUCGAGGUGCUUACCUAAGCAGGGAUUUAUCUCUGCUCAGACAAGUUAGAUUACAAGAAAGGUAAAACAAAACAAUGGAAAGGAAAAUGUGAUUAUUAUGAUAAUCAGACCAAUGGAAAGGAAAGAUGUUUAUACCCAAGUAUUAGAGUAUAACUUUCCCAAGGAAAGGCAGAGCAUGAUUGGACUCCAAGUAUUAAACCGUUUAGAUAAAGGGGCAAGGAACUUAUGAGGUUUACCUAUACAACGGUGUUUGGAUAAUUGAUCAAGAACAGUUAGCAUUGCACUCCCAAUGUUUUUGUUGAUGUUUGGAGUAACACAGUCAUGCUUCGAGGUAACAGUAACAUGGUGUUUCAAGCAAGAUUGAAUCUGAAGGUCACAAGAAGUACAAAGGAACAAUUCCAAGAAUGUCAAGGAAUGUAAGAUAUAACCAAAACAUGACCAAGUCUGUAUUGGUAGGAAGUCAAGGAUGGUGUCGAUGACAACACAAAUCAUCGACGGGCAAGGAUGGUAUUUCUCCUCAAGAAUUCAAUUGAUAUCUUAGAAUAAGGCAGUAUAUUGAUGGUGAUUCACGACAAAUUUUGUCGAGAGGCUCUAAGAAGAUGCCAUCGAGCAGCAACGACAUCAAGCAAAAGGAAUGAUGAAGCGAAGGCUAUUGGAACCACGGAUACGACAUAAGCUCGGAUUCAAGCUUGUUGUUCAAGGUGGAAUGAUAAGAUGAGGAAGAUCGACGUAAGCUUCACUCAUCGUAAGCUUCACUCAUCGUCGAAAAGUUGUGCUUCGGGAAGGACCAGGUAGCACAGUUAAAAAGUUGCACGAUAAUGAUAUAGCCGAUCAGGCUAGGAAUGACUUGAAGGAUUAACAAACUCAUAAGCAAUGAAGAUUAUUUAGAGUUAUUGAAUCGGAGUGCGGAAGUGAUUUACUUAUCAGUGUUCUCGGUUGACGACAACUCAGAACCCAGGAAAAUUGAAAUCGGUGAGAAAUAACAGUUGAUGAAGAACCCAUAAGAAGUUAUGUAGUUCAGUGAUAUUCUUGAGAUACCAGAGUGUAACACUCGAUGGUAGAUCAAAGUAAAGGUUGGAUAGGUGCAAUGAUCUGCAGAAUACAAGUACUUCAACUUGUCCAAGAAAUGGGACCAAAGAAGAACAAUCAUGGUGAGAACCACGGUUGCAAAGGACCAAUAUAGAUACAAGAUGAACUUAUCACAAGGGGAUCAUUAUUAUCAUAACAAGAAGCUUCCAUGAUAAGUUCCACAUCGGGUCCAUGGGCGUGAACACAAAGGUUCAAGGUCGACUCCCACUUCAUCAAUGCACAACCUUCCAUUCACUUCUCGCAUUCGAAGUUGUAGCGUUGAUAUGUUAUCCGAAGAAACGCUAGUAGAUAUAACCUGCAUAACCUUCCGGUUCACACGGAUUAGGCAAGGCGUAGAUUCAACCCACUGGGGCAUCUUAUGAACAUAGACCACAAACUUCACGAGUAAAUAACUCAAGCUCGAAAGUAGAGCAUGAUUGAGGAAGCAGAGGAUACAAUUUACCAAAGGCAUUAUGUAUCCGAGGAAAAGCUCACAAUGUUACUAAAUAAGAAGGACGCUGUCGGAUAAAACCCAACAAAGGAUCUGGUGGUCCACAAGGGAUCUGAUGUGAGCAUCGAUACUCACCCAGAAGAAGAAAGAAUGCAAGGAUAUCAGAUUAUAGAAACAACUGACUAAUUCAAAGCUCAAAUGCAAAGGAAAUAUGAUUUCCAAAAUGGUGGAUCAGAAGCAGAGGCCCUGAUCAAAGACAGGUUAGUUGAAUAGACAUAGAUCGACAAUCAAUCAAGGUUUGAUUUGUCGAACACCAGCUCAUGUCAGGGGUGACGUCUGAGCCGAAGGGAAGAAUUCUAACUUUGAUUGAUGAUUGCAAGCAUUCACAAACAUAUCGAAUCAAAUGCUCAAAAUGAAAUAUGACAAAUGAUACUACUGAAUAUUGCCAGACAUAUGGAAAGCAUCCACAAUGCAAGCAUACAAGGAGGAGCAAGAGUAGUAGGUUUCUAAGGAUUUUCGGAAGAUCGGAUAAUAUUCCAAAGAAUUUUGUGAAACAGUGAACAACUGUGGACGAACAGAUACUCGGCAAGCGCGAGUAAUUAUCCGCAGGGGUAUUCAUGUGGCAAAGAACUGCAAGGCAGUAGGCUCAAUGGAUUCUUAGGACAACAGAGAGUAAUUCAAGGCAUCUUGUAAUAACAAGAGCAACUGGGGAUGAAGGUAUGAACGACAACGUAGGUAGUUACUCAUAAGGAUUUAUCGGUGGUAUGGAAUUGCAACGGCAAAGGGCACAAGGGUUUCGGGGAAACAUCGGGAGUAUCUUCGAAAUCUUCUAAAGCAGCAAGCGAUCAUCUGGCCUGAAGGGGCUCUCCGGGAGAAAGUGGGUACGAGAUCCUAAUGUCUGACUUAGUAAAAUGUUUAACCCGAAUAGACAAGAGAUCAGAGUCCCAGAGUAUAGACGAGGAAUAAAAUAUCCUAAUACCACCCAAUGGCGACGUGGGCCCGUAAGCCACACAACCAAUGUUAGUAAAAGUUUUUCAGUGACUAGACUCAACUUCAGCCAAGGAGUCGGAAAGGGGGCUACCUACAGGCAGUCGGCUCUGAUACCAACUUGUGACGCCCUCGAUUCAAUUGUACACUAAUCAUGCACGCAAAUGUAUAUGAUCAAGAUCAAGGACUCACGGGAAGAUAUCACAACACAACUCUAGACACAAAUUAAAAUAAUACAAGCUUUAUAUUACAAGCUAGGGGCCUCGAGGGCUCGAAUACAUAAGCUCGAAAACACAAGAGUCAGCGGAAGCAACAAUAUCUGAGUACAGACAUGAGUUAGACAAGUUUGCCUUAAGAAGGCUAGCACAAAAGCAUCUACGAACGAAAAGGCAAGGCCUCUUGCCUGGGAGCCUCCUAACUACUCCUGGUCAUCGUCGGUCUCCACGUAGUAGUAGGCAUCGGCGGUGGCAUCUGGCUCCUGGGCUCCGACAUCUGGUUGCAUCAACCGGAAAGAAGAAGAAAGAGGGAAAAGGGGGAGCAAAGCAACCAUGAGUACUCAUCCAAAGUACUCGCAAGCAAGGAUCUACACUACAUAUGCAACAUUAUCAAAGGAAGGCUGUAAAUGUGGACUGGGCUGCAGAAAUGCCAGAAAAGAGAGAAGGCCUAGUCCUAUCAAAAACUAGCAUCUUUUGGAAACCACCAUCUCGCAGCAACAGGAGGGAGUAGAGUAGCAUAAAGUAAAGUAGUAGUAGUGUUAUCAACCUCGGCCGGAGAUCCUUUCUCGACUCCCUGCGAGAAAGAAAUCCCAGAGCCAUACUAUCCAGUUAUCAUCACAAUCCAAUUCUCAUCACCAUCCAGUUCUAGUUGUAUCGAUCGGGAUACAACUCCAAGUGUUCGUUACCGUAGGACAGGCUAUCGAUAGAUGUUUUCUUCCUUGCAGGGGUGCACCAACUUACCCACCACGCUCGAUUAACUCCGGCCGGACACACUUUCCUGGGUCAUGCCUGGCCUCGGCCAAACAAUACGCCGCAACCCGACCUAGGCUUAAUAGAGAAGCCAGCACGCCGGACUAAACCUAUGCCCCCAGGGGUCAUGGGCCAUCUCCCCGGGAACUCCUGCACGUUGCGUGGGCGGCCGGUGAGCAGACCUAGCUACCUCCCUAAAAAGGCAGGAGCUUACCAGUCCAACCCGGCGUGCGCCGCUCAGUCGCUGACGUCUAUUAAGCUUCGGCUGAUGUAUACGACGCAGAACACCCAUACUAUGCCCACGUGAUGGUUAGUGCUAUCAGGCCAGAGGCCCCUCGGAUCAAAUAUCCAAAUCGUAGUGUAUUAGGAACGCGCGGUAACAAGCAGAGAUUCACGAAAGAUGUGACCCCGUUGCCCCGUCUCGAGGACUUGCGGCAAGGGCUAGGAAUGUCCGGCCACGCCUCGUAAUUAUCUCGCGGGCACCCUCCAGGUCAACCCGUCUCCACAUCACUCGCAAUUAAGCUCGCGCGGGUACCCCUCAGGGUCGACCCGUCUUUAGUAACAUGGUUCAGUGUAAAGACAUAGUAACCAUAGUAACUGUGUAUCCAAACAUCAAGGGGAAAACCCGAGGAAUCACCCCGGUGAAUUCCACUCGAUGUAAUCAUCAAGGUGAACGUAAGAGGAACCACCCCGAGGUUCACACUUGAGGGGUUGCACGACAGAGCCGUAUCGAAAGUGGUUAUGGAGGAAAUCACCCUCGAUGACCAUGAAUGAAUAGCUACACUACAGAGAUCUCAUCAGGAGUGAUGUAUGAAGGUCCACCCUCGACACUCGAUGGUAACCCUGCAGAGUCGAGCAACAAAAGGGGCGUGAUGUGAUGUGAGGUAUCGGGCUCUGGUCUUCGAUCCCGUUGAACGGGUCUUCGAUGAUGAAGCAGGGGCAACAAGGACAAGAUGGGGUCACUGAUGGAUCACUAACUAACCUAUACUAAGUAGUUUAGGAUAAGCAGGUAGAUAACAAUGAGCAGGUUACAAAAGCAGGCUAUGCAUCAGAAUAGGAGCAAACAAUAACAAUAGCAAAAUCUAAUGCAAGCAUGAGAGAAUGAAAUGGGCGAUAUCGGGAUGAUCAAAAGGGGGGCUUGCCUGGUUGCUCAGACAAGAACGAGGGGUCGUCGGUGACGUAGUCAAUCACAACGGCAUCGACAGCCGCCACGUGGUCUACCGAAAAGAAGAGGGGGGAGAAACAGUAAAUACAUAGCAAGCAAGUGCAUAACAGGAUAGAAGGCAUAGCUAGACGUGUUCUAACGCGGUCCUAGACGUUAUAGGUGAAGGGGGAAUUCAACUGGGAAGGUGUUCCCGGUUCCGGGCCUGUGUCAGACAGAUGACCGCAGGGGGAAAGUUCCAUGUUCAGCAUACUAGGGGCAUGUGACUGGUGAAUGGAUAGCGUAUUCGGAUUCGUUGGAUUUUUCUGAGCAACUCUCAUGUAGAAAACAUUUUCAUCCGAGCUAUGGAUUAUUUUAUAUGAUUUUUCAAAGAUUUAGACAAUUUCUGGAAUUUCAGGAUUUACUAAUAAAUCAAAAAGUAAAAUACCUAAAAUGCUACGGGUACACAAGGAAGUGUACCCAACAGUGUGUAAGAGGCUGACAGGUGGGGUCUAGUUGACUGCCUAGUCAGCAGUCAACUGAGACUGUUGACUAGUCAAAGGGCCCGGGGGACCCGCAUGUCAUUGACUGGGUUAUCCCAGUCAGCAGUUUAACUGGUCAAUGGGACCAGGGGGACCCAAGUGUCAUCCACACAUAUUUUAGCAUUUUUUCAGAGGAUAUUUAGAGGAAGGGGGGUCCACCUGCCAUAGGCUAGUAGCUAAUCUAACUAGUAAUUAUCCCCUGAAGUAAUUUGCAUAGGGUCGGCCAGAGGCGCAAGCAGCACCACGGAUGUGCACAUACACGCACAACCCAUGUGUGUUCAGCCAUGGCCACGGCCACAUGCGAGGCUAGCGCUGGAGCAACCAACAGUGGCAGCAAGAAGAGCAGCAGUAGCAAAAUGAGUAGCAACAGCAAAAGAGUAGCAGCGGCAUAUCAGCAACAUCAAAACGGCAGUGGUGUCUGCUAGUAGAUCAGCAGCCGGCAAGCGUCAGCGGCAUGCGAGAAGCAGCAGCAUAGCAGCCUCAUCAAUAUUCAGUAGUAAGCAGCAGCAACCAUCAUGGCAGCUAGCGGGACAGGGGCGCCGCCCGGGCGAACGUCCGCGCGCGAGGAGCAGCAGUACAAGCAGCAGCAGAGCAGCGGCAGGGACGCGGACGACUAUGGCGGCGCGCCUGGGCGCGGCCAGGGAGCGGCGGGCGCGAGCCAGCAAGGCCUAACGCGGCCAGAGGCGCGCGAGCGCGGACUGUGGCGCAGCGAGCACGAGCUCCGACGGCGUCGGGCACGGCGGUGACGGCGGCCUACGAUGGUACGCGGACAAACGACGAGGUUGCUCUAGAGGACCGGAUCGAUACAGGGAAAGGGAGGAGGAGCUGGGUCUCACAGUGGUGGCAACGGCGAGAGCAGGUGGUUCCGGGAGGUUCGAACGACGGUGGAUCGAAGCCGUGGCCGAGGCGAACGCUGACGGAGGGGAUCGGCGCGGUCCGGCGAUGCAUCGAGGAUGGGCUCGAUCUGGCCCUUGUAGACGAAGCAGAGGAAGCGGGCGGAGCUCCUGGCGAAGUCUUGGCCGACGGGGAGGUCGGUGGCCACGGCGAUGCAGCAGCUAGUGGCGACGGUGCUUCGGGCGCACGCGAGGAGAAGAGAGCGACGCGAGGUGGAGAUGAAGUGGGCGGCUAGGGUUCACAGGGGGACGAGGGCGACCUUAUCUGCAUCAGGGGGCCACGGGAUGGAUGCCGCGUGGUCAUCCGCGUCCAUGGACGGGGCGCACGCCUCCACGGCGCUCCUGAUGAG
rnacentral:lncRNA from 1 species